AUUGAACGCUGGCGGCAGGCCUAACACAUGCAAGUCGAGCGCGCGGCGGAAGGGUGUGUAAUGUAUGGGGACUGCCCGAUAGAGGGGGGUAACUACCGGAAAAGGUAGCUAAUACCGCAUACUCUCUGAGAACGCAUAUGGGAUUAGCUCGUAGGUGAGGUAAUGGCUCACCUAGGCGACGAUCCCUAGCUGGUCUGAGAGGAUGCCCAGCCACACUGGGACUGAGAAACGGCCCAGACUCCUACGGAGGCAGCAGUGGGGAAUAUUGCACAAUGGGCGCAAGCCUGAUGCAGCCAUGCCGCGUGUAUGAAGAAGGCCCUAGGGUUGUAAAGUACUUUCAGUCGGGAGGCGUUACCGACAGAAGAAGCACCGGCUAACUCCGUGCCAGCAGCCGCGGUAAUAC
rnacentral:rRNA from 1 species